rnacentral:rRNA from 1 species
UACGGAGGGUGCAAGCGUUAAUCGGAAUUACUGGGCGUAAAGCGCGCGUAGGCGGCUAAGUCAGUCGGAUGUGAAAUCCCUGGGCUCAACCUGGGAACUGCAUACGAUACUGCUUGGCUAGAGUGUGGGAGAGGGUGGUGGAAUUCCCGGUGUAGCGGUGAAAUGCGUAGAUAUCAGGAGGAACACCGAUGGCGAAGGCAGGUCUCUGGGCCACUACUGACGCUGAGAAGCGAAAGCAUGGGGAGCGAACAGG